rnacentral:rRNA from 1 species
GCAGGGGGGAAUAUUGGACAAUGGGCGCAAGCCUGAUCCAGCCAUACCGCGUGGGUGAAGAAGGCCUUCGGGUUGUAAAGCCCUUUUGUUGGGAAAGAAAUCCAGCUGGCUAAUACCCGGUUGGGAUGACGGUACCCAAAGAAUAAGCACCGGCUAACUUCGUGCCAGCAGCCGCGGUAAUACGAAGGGUGCAAGCGUUACUCGGAAUUACUGGGCGUAAAGCGUGCGUAGGUGGUCGUUUAAGUCCGUUGUGAAAGCCCUGGGCUCAACCUGGGAACUGCAGUGGAUACUGGGCGACUAGAGUGUGGUAGAGGGUAGCGGAAUUCCUGGUGUAGCAGUGAAAUGCGUAGAGAUCAGGAGGAACAUCCAUGGCGAAGGCAGCUACCUGGACCAACACUGACACUGAGGCACGAAAGCGUGGGGAGCAAACAGGAUUAGAUACCCUGGUAGUCCACGCCCUAAACGAUGCGAACCGGAUGUUGGGUGCAAUUUGGCACGCAGUAUCGAAAAUGAAGCG